rnacentral:rRNA from 1 species
GUGGGUGAUCUGCCCUGUACUUCGGGAUAAGCCUGGGAAACUGGGUCUAAUACCGGAUAUGACCUUACAUCGCAUGGUGUUUGGUGGAAAGAUUUAUCGGUACAGGAUGGGCCCGCGGCCUAUCAGCUUGUUGGUGGGGWAAUGGCCUACCAAGGCGACGACGGGUAGCCGGCCUGAGAGGGCGACCGGCCACACUGGGACUGAGACACGGCCCAGACUCCUACGGGAGGCAGCAGUGGGRAAUAUUGCACAAUGGGCGAAAGCCUGAUGCAGCGACGCCGCGUGAGGGAUGACGGCCUUCGGGUUGUAAACCUCUUUCGACAGGGACGAAGCGCAAGUGACGGUACCUGUAGAAGAAGCACCGGCCAACUACGUGCCAGCAGCCGCGGUAAUACGUAGGGUGCGAGCGUUGUCCGGAAUUACUGGGCGUAAAGAGCUUGUAGGCGGUUUGUCGCGUCGUCCGWGAAAACUUGGGGCUCAACCCCAAGCUUGCGGGCGAUACGGGCAGACUUGAGUACUGCAGGGGAGACUGGAAUUCCUGGUGUAGCGGUGAAAUGCGCAGAUAUCAGGAGGAACACCGGUGGCGAAGGCGGGUCUCUGGGCAGUAACUGACGCUGAGAAGCGAAAGCGUGGGUAGCGAACAGGAUUAGAUACCCUGGUAGUCCACGCCGUAAACGGUGGGCGCUAGGUGUGGGUUUCCUUCCACGGGAUCCGUGCCGUAGCUAACGCAUU